rnacentral:rRNA from 1 species
UUCCUUUGAUUUUGGGGAGGAUAUAAAGUGAGCAGCACUUAUAAUACAUGCUAGGAAGACAGAUGCGUGCGUAAUAAGAGACAUGCAAAUGCUCCGUACAGGUGAGUAAUGCUUUGGAGUCAAUCAUUAACCUUAAAAUAUAUAUAGGUCGAGAGCCUAUAUGUUCUGGUUAAUUGAUGAGUCAGAGUCGUAUUAGGUGAAGAAAACCGGCAGCUGCUGAAUUUUCUUACUGAAGAUGCGUAGCUGAAAAGCCACACUUCCACUGAAACAAGGGGGAGACUCGGUAUAGAGGCAGCAGUAGAGAAUCUUGUGCAAUGUAUGAAAGUAUGACACAGAGAUGUUGCAAAAGAAGACCGUCCAAUAUACGUGCCAGCAGACGCGGUUAUACGUAAGGUCUGAGUUUUUAUCACAAAAGGCGUAAAAAGUGUGUGAGGCGUUAACGCUAAGACAUAAGUUAUUAAUACACUUAUCUUAGCUUACAGAGAGAUAUGGAGUUUUAGGGGGUAAAUGGAAUUUUUAUGUAGCGGUAGAAUGCUUUUAUAUAAAUUAGAACACCGUAGGCGAAAGCGGUUUACUACUAGAAACUGACGCAGAAACACGAAAGUAAGGGGAGCAAAUAGGAUUAGAUACCCUAGUAGUCCUUACUGUAAAUUAUGAAUAUAAGAUUGCUCUAAAUUAGGUAAGUAGUUAAAAAAAUACUUCCAUUUGUGUGUGGUCGAAGAAAACUUAAGAGAGUUCUGCCUGAAGAGUACGAUCGCAAGAUUAAAAUUUAAAAAAUUUGGCGGUUCACUAAUCCAAUUAGAGGAGCGUGUGGUUUAAUUCGAUAGUCCGCGAUUAACCUUACCAAAACUAGAAUGCGAGAAUUAAGUUUAACUUAGCUUGACUUGAAUUCAGGUAUUGCAUGGCCGUCGUCAGUUUGUGUUGUGAAAGUAAUAGAACGAACUCAACCCUUAAUCAAAUUUAUAAUAUUUAUUAUUAGCCUUUGAUUAGAGGAUAACGUCAGGUCCUUAUGAUCCAUAUGUUUUGGGCUAUACAUGCGCUACAAUCUUAUAUACAAAAAGAAUUUAAAAUCUUUAAAGUAAGAGUUCGAAUUAUUCUUUGAAAUAAGGAGUAUGAAGUUGGAUUUAAUAGUAAUCAGAAAGUAGGGCGUUCUGGUGAAUAUGGCUCUAGUGUUCGUACAAAUCGCCCGUCAUCUCUGCCAAGUAAAUAAUCCUAAAGUGUUAAGUUAAGGUUAAAAGAAAAAAAAACCAAAUAUGAAGCGUUUAUUACACAAAACUUUUAUCAGUAACUUAGCAUUAUGGAGGACCUAUGAGGCUGAGGAAGUCGUAACACAGCGGGGGCAUUGGAAAAUGUUCCCAGAUUAA